UUUUUCAAAUAUCCUCUGAACGUUGACUUAGGUGCACACACCUGUGCUUCCAUUGGCAACAAAAGCUUUGAAUGCACAGGACUUCCACGGCAUGAAAUGCAUUUACAUACAUUACAUAAGAGAGAAGCAAUGAGCAAGUCUGUUGCUGGGAGAGGCUCACAUCCUUCUCACCAAAUCAAUCUGUAACUUUCAAAUAGCUCUGCUGUAUUUCCUAGCAACAGGAGUAAACACUGUACUACAUCCAGUGCCCAAGAUUUGUAACCACGUUAAUCUCACUGGACAAAGAUGGGAGAUUGAAACAGGAGCCCCUGCGAUGGGGGAACAGAGCCAGGGAGCAGGGGUUGGACAGAACCCAGGUUUGAGAAAACAACCUUGUGAACCUUCUAUUGGAGCAGCAAUAAAGAUCUGAGCUAAGUGUCGAGGGAGGCUGAGGAGGUGGUCACUAAGUCUGUCUUAGGCAUCCCAGGGUCUCCUCAGAGUCCAAGCCUGAAGUCCACUGCAGGGGUCACCAGCCACCUGUGGCCACAUUGGAAUGUGGCCAUUCUGAAUUGAGGUAAGUAAAAAACAUACACCAAAUUUCAAAGAUGUAAUAUGGGAAAAAAAGAAUGUAAGGUACUUGGUUAAUGAUUUUUUAUAUGGAUUACAUAUGGAAAUGCUACCAUUUUGGCUAUAUUGGGUAAGAUAUAUUAUUAAAAUUGAUGUCACCUGUUCCCUUUUACUUUUUUAAGCGCGCCUGCUAUAAAAUAUGAAAUUGCCUGCAUGGCUCCCAUUCAUGGAUCCUAUUACAUUUCUAUCUGCCAGUGUAGGUUGGUGCAGUCACAAGACAAUGCUUCAGGAGAAAAUCUGGGGAGGCGGUCUCAGGGCAAGAGGGUGAGUGGGGGAAAUGCCUAUGGAAUGAGAAAGAGACAACAGGGGGACCGACCCAUCAAGGGCUACAAAGAAGGUGAAUUUGCUUUCUGAGUUGUGCUUGCCUGCCGGACUCAUUUGCAGCAAGAGAGACCAGAAUAUAAAGGCCACGAUAAUAACAUCUCAAAUAAAUUAGAAGCAGCUUGUGGUUUAUAGUGAGCAAUGCUCUACUGGGGACCAGACCAAGCAGUUACCCCUGUCUUCACUCCAUCUGUGGUUAAGUCAUUUGGUCACUGUUGCCUUCUCAUCUGCAAAGCGGGGACUGAGAUUAACUGCUUGGCCUGCAUAUCCCCCUGACUCUGUCAACUAAGUUUUCGGAAACCUGAAGCACUCUAAACAUCCUGGGGGAAGAAAGGGCUGGAGAAACAUACAAUGUUUUGUGAUCAGAGUUUUUAAGCUGAAAAGAAUGAAGAAACUUGAAUAGAAUAAAUUCUUGAUACUUCCUUUUUCAUAACACUUACCACGCUUUAUUUCGAUUAUUUAUUAGCCCCCUUCCUAGCUAGAUAUAAGCUAGCUAUAAAUACCAUGAGCUCAGGACCCACAUCUGUCUGCUCACUGCUGUGACCGCAACUUAGAGGACAGAGCCCAGAAUACAGGCCUCAAUAAAUACUGUGGAAGAGGGGUCACAUGGAGAAUUUGCAGUCAUUUUUGCUGUUGAGCAUCUGUUAAGUUAAAGUUUCCAAGUGUGCAAACUGUACUCGGAAAUGAGUAAGAAGUAGAAACUUACCUAGAGAUGAUCAAACCAGUAGUGCUGUCACUCUAAUGAUGUUAUCUGUCCCACUGUGAAAACAUUGUCACAGGUGAAGGAGGAGAGUGAGGUGAGACCUUCCCAGCCCUUGACUGCUCUUGCACUGGACACAUUCCAGGAAGCUCUUGUGGCAGAAGCAGCCACUUAACUUACUUUUAACAAGAGAAGCUGAAGGCUGAGGGAAGUCAGGACCAACAGAGGAUCCAAAUUUCAGUGGCACAAGUCUUAAGCUUCAUUUGGUUGCAUGAAUGAGUGCGGAAGCAGCAUGAAGUAGUGGUGAUACAAACCUGGGUUCUGUGUUUAAUUCUAUUCUCAGUACUUUCCCAGUGGGAGACUGUGAGUUCCCUCUCUGAACCUCGUUCUCCUCCAUGGCUUAAAACUGGACUCAUAAUGCAUGGCUUAGCUAUAAUGUACCUUUCAAAAAGGGCUGGCAUCCGGUAAACACUGAAUAAAUGGUUACAUGUCAAACACAGUAAACAUUCAACAAUGGCUAAUAUCUUCCUUCUGCAUCAGCUUUUAAAACAGAUUUUUUAACCUGGAGUCCAAGGAGUCCCAGGAAAUCCACAGACGAGAUUCAAUGGAUCCUUGAAAUCCCUAAAAUUAAAUACAAAGCGGGGUAUGUGUGGACAUCUUUUCUCUUCAAGGAAAGAAUCCAUAGCUUUCAUAUGAUGCUCUUAAGACUCUCAGACUGAAAACAGUUUAAGAACUAUUGAGUUUCUGUGGCUUCCAAAGUGUUUAGCUCCUUCUAUUUAUCUAUGGAAUAGCUCUGUGAAUGACUCUCAAAACCAAGCUUUUCUGUGCCUCCUCAAGAGGCCUGCAUUUUAUAUGCAGCAGUACAACUUCCUUCCAUAAGACGCUUUUAUUUUCUGGCAGCAGCAGUAUCACAGGAAGAUGACUGGAAUUUAUAAGAUUGAUGACCAAAGAAGGCAGCUAUAAUGUUUUAUUCUCAAGAUGAUGGUUACUCAUCUUAGAAUAAAAACAACAACAACAAAAAAUAACAGAUGAAUGGGAAGAGCCCAAUCAAAGCUUUAUUCUACUCCUCAACAACUCAGGUGAGUGUCUGGCCACUUGGCAGUCGCCAGGAGGAAGGAGCUUAGUGGCAGACAAACUGCUUCAAAUCUCUAAAUCUUUGUUUCCUCAUCUGUUAAAAAAAAAAAAAAAAAAAAAAGAUGAUAACAGUGACGCCUCCUACCUAGGGCUGCUGUGAGAACUAAAUAAGAAAGUAAUUGUAAGGCAUCUUUUAAGUACUCAAAACAGAGUGCCUCAUAAAUAUUAAUUAUUAAAUAUCCUCUCUGAUGAUAGGGGGAAAAGGAUUCCUUAUCUGGUCUCUGACCCAUAGAUUUUAGCCUGGAGAUUUACUCUGGGUCACUGAUAUUUUCCAGCCUCCUCCUUAAGGUUGUUAUUAGUGACCAAGUAAUAAGUAAGUAUAUAAACCAUUGAGAAAACUGUUGAAAAAGUGUCUGAGCAGCAGCUUCAAAGAGAAUCUGUCUUCAUGUCCCAGUAUCCUAAGAGGCAAAUGUGAAAAUCAAUUUAAAGGAAAUAGAAUAUACCUAAAGAAAGUCACCUGAAAAAAUGAAAGAUGAAUGAUUCAACACACAUUUUUCUCUCAUUUAUUUAAAAAUUUUUGAGAUACAUGGUGGGCAAGGCACUGUACUGAGCACAGGAUGUGCAAAGAUAAGGAAGUAAGUCCAGCUCUCAAGACAUUUAGUCUACAGAGGGAGACACACAUGUAUAUCCAACGCCAUACGUACCACAGGAUAAAGUGUGAUGUGGGGAGAGGCUGGGAGGGGAUGUUCAGCAGGGGCUUCUUGAAAAAGCAACACUUGAGAUGAGUUUGGAAGGAUAAGUAAAUGUUUAAUAGUUCAUAGUUUGAGAAAGAAGAAACAAUAUUCCACAGAGACAACAGCCCAUGUAAAAGCACAUGCAAUGAAGCAUUUAAGCAUGGGGAUAAUAUGGGCAGCUAGAAGAAGGCGUUGCUGAACAUACCAGCACCUACCCAUCCCCUGCACCCACAGGAGGAGGCAGGACUCACCUCAGAGAGAAUCUUGGAAUUCAUGGUAGGAGCCUGUACUUUUCUCCAGGACUAUGACAAGGUUUGGAAUGGUUCUUAGCAGGGAGUUAUAUAAUUCAAUUUUAUCUAUUCUUUAGAAAGAGCAAGCAGGCAGCGGUGAGGAGGAUGGAUUGAAAGCUGAGAGACUGAAGGCAGCAUUUGUAGAGGUGACUUGGGAAGAGUGAAACAUGAAAGGAAGUGGAGCAGGAGGUCUUGGUGACUGAUUAGGUGGAGGAAGAAAGGGAGAAGGUCAGAUCGAGAUCAUUCCCAGGUCUCUGGCUUGGAGGUGUAGUGAGAGGAUGAUAUGCCUGUCAGGGAAAACAGGUGUUAUAGUAUUUAAUAGAUAUCUGCUGUUUCUGCACGCACAGCAUCUCCUAUCUCUUCUUUUCAAUAUUUCCUUUUAAAAACUACCCCUUCCCUGCUCUCAGGUUAUAUGGUUUAGAAGAGUUUUGCUGACUAGUCUCCCAUGUACUUCCUUCACUCCCAUACACUCCUUCCCACCUGCCGUCACACAUACCACUCUCCCCUUCCAAAAGCCUCCAGGACUGGGCUCAUAAUCAAAGCUGAGUCAAGUGGCAUGGUCCAAAUCUCCGGCCAUAGGGUCUGGUUCAAGCAUAUGCAUGUGAUCAAAGUGGUCUAAUUAAAGUUAAUCCUGAAUUCUCUUUUUCUCAGGAGUUAAGCCUAAAGCUGCAGAUGAAAAUUUUGCCACCAUGAAGAAAAGAAGAAAUCAGAAUUGGAUUCUUUCUGAACUUUUCCUUUACAGUAGCCAGUAUAUGCCCUUUCCUACUUGAGCAAGUAUAAACUGGGUUUCUGUGAUUUGCAACCAAGUGUCCUGACAAACACAAGGAUGAAAGACAACUGUGUCUCAAUAAAGGAAAAAUAGUUUAUUUUUAUGAGUGGUGGAUUUAAAAAACCUACAUUACUGUGACAAGAGUACCUUAAAACAUUUAAGUCUACAAAAGGCACUUAGGGACUUUAUAGCAAACUCUACACUUAUAAUGAAAAGCCAGACCAGAUCAUUUUAAAAAAACGUUACUGCACGAGAUAAUGGCACAUCCACUCGUUCAAUUAACAUUUAUUGAGUGUCUUCAGGGGUUUUAGACUUGUGCAAUAAAAAUGAUAAAAACGUAUUCUUUGGUUUGAGCUGGUCCAUCCAAGGUCGUUCCAUAAAGAGCAGCUGUGUAUGCUGUUCAGACUAAUUGUGUGAAGCUGGAGAGGCCAGGUGUUUCUGUCUGGCCCAGCAGCUGCACUUUGCGGUAAGGGCACCACCUGAAUUUCAGUCUGGCCAUAAAAUGAGGCUGAAGAAACAGCACCUUGCAUGAGCUUUUAGGUGAAAGGCAGAACAG
rnacentral:lncRNA from 10 species